rnacentral:lncRNA from 1 species
AGCGAGCUCAAGCAGCUGGCGAGAGUGAUGUUAUUUCCCUUGAUUAGGAUUUGUUACAAUAUUUCUAUCUUUAUAAGGAAAUGACAAGCCAUUUGCCUUGUUUCAAAUAAAAUAUGACAGUCGCAGCCAAGUUGAAAAGGGCAACAAUAUCUAACUCAAGCUUAUAAACAGUACAAAAGCCCAAGGAUUAAUUGUUCAUCAGGUUUAGACAAAAUCCAGACUGAACACGCAUGGCAAUAACAUCUAACCCAACCACUAUUUUUGGCAGUCACAAAUAAAUGGGUCGGUCUGAUCCAUAAAAUCAACAUCCUAUGCCAAAAAGUUUACUCGCAUAUAACGACAAGUUGUUGUAAAUAGAAGCCGAGCACGUUCAUAAGCCCAUUUGUCGACCCGAAUCUUCUUUUUUUGCUGUCCAACAUAUCCAUCUGUGAGAAAUUUCUUGUUGAAAAACUUAAGCCCCAUGAACAAUAGUAACCUCGCAUUAAAUAGGAAGAAUGUGACGAAGUCUCUGUUUGCCUGAUUGGAUGCAUAACCUUCCAUCGUUAUUGUCCUCAAACGAAUGUCAUGAGAACUGAGAAAAUCCCGAUGUUUAUUACACCACCAAUUGGUUAUGAUUUUCUCCAUGUGUUGCUGCCUACGUAGACAUGAAGAUUCAAAAUAGUUAAUGUCUAAAAAAAGAGUAUGUCAAUAGAGCGACAGCCGAACGGUAAUUCUAGUACAAUAUAUAUGAGCUUUCAAUGUGCAUGAAAGAAUCACCUCUAUAUAAAAACUAGUUGACCCGUUCCGCCAAAUGGCGCAGAGAC